rnacentral:rRNA from 1 species
CACGUAGGGUGCGAGCGUUGUCCGGAAUUAUUGGGCGUAAAGAGCUCGUAGGCGGCUUGUUGCGUCGACUGUGAAAACCCGCGGCUUAACCGCGGGCUUGCAGUUGAUACGGGCAGGCUAGAGUUCGGUAGGGGAGACUGGAAUUCCUGGUGUAGCGGUGAAAUGCGCAGAUAUCAGGAGGAACACCGGUGGCGAAGGCGGGUCUCUGGGCCGAUACUGACGCUGAGGAGCGAAAGCGUGGGGAGCGAACAGG